rnacentral:rRNA from 1 species
GAUUAUGGCUCAGGAUGAACGCUGGCGGCGUGCCUAACACAUGCAAGUCGAACGGGGUGUCUGAUCUCGGACUGGACACUUAGUGGCGGACGGGUGAGUAACGCGUGGGUAACCUGCCUCAUACAGGGGGAUAGCAGUUGGAAACGACUGAUAAUACCGCAUAAGCGCACAGUACCGCAUGGUACAGUGUGAAAAAACUCCGGUGGUAUGAGAUGGACCCGCGUCUGAUUAGCUUGUUGGCGGGGUAACGGCCCACCAAGGCGACGAUCAGUAGCCGGCCUGAGAGGGUGAACGGCCACAUUGGGACUGAGACACGGCCCAAACUCCUACGGGAGGCAGCAGUGGGGAAUAUUGCACAAUGGGGGAAACCCUGAUGCAGCCGACGCCGCGUGAAGGAUGAAGUAUUUCGGUAUGUAAACUUCUAUCAGCAGGGAAGAUGAUGACGGUACCUGACUAAGAAGCCCCGGCUAACUACGUGCCAGCCGCAGC